CACGUAGGGUGCGAGCGUUGUCCGGAAUUAUUGGGCGUAAAGAGCUCGUAGGCGGUGUGUCGCGUCGGCCGUGAAAACCUGCAGCUUAACUGUGGGCUUGCGGUCGAUACGGGCAUCACUGGAGUUCGGCAGGGGAGACUGGAAUUCCUGGUGUAGCGGUGAAAUGCGCAGACAUCAGGAGGAACACCGGUGGCGAAGGCGGGUCUCUGGGCCGAUACUGACGCUGAGGAGCGAAAGCGUGGGGAGCGAACAGG
rnacentral:rRNA from 1 species